GGAUUUCUCUGGAUCUCCUUUGCCCACUGGCCUACAUUAUAAAAGUGCUGUAUGCGGACCCUCCCAUUGUCAUCGUGGACACAGGCCAUGACGUCAUCACCACCCUACCAUGAAAAACGAUGAAGGAAAGAGUCAAAGGAGCCUCAAGACAGGGCAGGGGAAAAGAAGAAGAAGGCAGAGCAGCAGCCUGUGCAAAGGUACAGGGGCCCAAGGAAGUCUGGCUCUGGAAGCACCCUGGCACAGUGAGGUGGCAAAUGAUGGUAUCACAGAGGGAAGAGGGAAGAAGACAGCAGAGGCACAGAGAGAAGCAGAGCUUGAACAAAGACAUGCAAGCAACCAUCUUCUACCACACCAAUGAGGACAAAACUUUACUGGAUGGUGGAACAAGAUGGACUGACCUUGUGGAACAGAGCUGUCCCAACUGCCCAGACCAGUCAG